GUUCCGUCAUAUAUAUCUCGAUCUUUGGCUGGCAGCUAUGACAAUGAAGCUGUAGCUAUAUUUGCUUGAUCUUUACUUUUUACCUCUAUAUAAAGGGAUUGUUGCUGACUACAAAUAUGUUCUUCAAGACACUGAAUACGGGAUCCCUCUUCUAUGCCACUUUGAAUGCCAUAGCAUACUUUUACAUGGAGGCAUACCGAGAUGUUGAAGCAAUUCAGAGUGUGGCCAUACAAGGAGGGACUAUUGUUGCUCUUUUAAUUUUUCACUUAAAUUUGAUUGUAUCGUUGUUUGUUAGUGAAAGAAUCCGUUCACCCCUCUUUGAUGUAAUUGCUUAUUUUGAGAAGAAUAUACAAUCGUCUUCCAAGAGUUGUUGAGGGUAAAUUAGAAACAAUAUGACCAAAAUUUUUGCAUAGGAUCAGAAUUCUAAAGUUUAUUGGCCAUAAAUAGUAUAUUAUUUUAUGAAAAUAG